GCUAGGCGGCCGCUGGCCGCCCCGAAAUUGCCCUAGUCGGGCCUCUUAGGCGCCGGCCUGAGUAAUUGGCCGACUUGGGUGCCUAGGUGGCCCAAGCGGCGCCUAGUCGGCCAGCGCGCCUAGGGCUUUUUUCAAUUUAAAUAUCAGUUUUUAGGGCUUUUUUUUGCUAAAUCAUAAAUCAAACGAUUCAAACUUGUUAGCGUCUCCCCCUCUUCACUCUCUUCUCACCUCAACGCUGCUGCCUCAACGCCGCCAAGCUUCAUCGGCCCGCCAGUAGCUCACCGCCGUCGCUGCAUCCAGCUCCAUCCUCGCCGCCAAGUUUCAUCAUCACCGCCUCUUCUCUGUCGCGUCCUCCUCUUCCUCGUUGCCUCAGCAUCGUCGCCUCCGCCCUCGUCCUCGCCGUCGAGCUCCAUCUCCGCCACGGCAAGGUCCAUCUCCGUCCACUCGUAACCCCUCUCUCUCUCUCUCUGUUUUGCGUUUGCUGCGUUGCUGAUUUCGUUUUUAUGUUUUUUAUUUUUUAUUUUAUUUCAUUUUUCUUUUCUAUUUAUAUAUAAUUAUUAGAUUUAUAUUUAGUUUUUAUUAUUAAUUAUAUAUAUUCUUUAAUAUUUCCAAAAAAUUUGCUACUUGCUUAUAGACUUAUAGUAUAUUACUAUAUUGAUGUUUUUAUUAUUGAUUAUAUUUCUGUUUUUAUUAUAUUGUAAAACAUAAAUUAUUUUGCUAUUUUAUUAUCUUAAUUUGAAUCAUUUGAUUAUUUUACAGCCAUGAAUCAUGAUAUGUUAUUGUUAUUUUGAACACUAAGUGAGGUUAUUCGUUAUAUAUAGGUUUCUAUUGCAACUUUCUUCAAUUAAAUUAAUAAUGUCGGAUGGGACUCGAAGUACAGGAGCAUCGUCUGAUGCAGCUUCGGUUUUUAAAAGGAAAUCCAAUGAUAUUGGAUGGGAGUAUGGAAUGUUAAUUGAUCCGAAGAAUAUGGAUAAAGUUAAAUGUAAGUUGUGUGGUAAAAUUAUGUCUGGCGGAGUUUACAGAAUAAAAGAACACAUAGGUCAUAUUUUCAGAAAUGUUUCUGCAUGUCCAAAAUCUUCUUCGGAUGAUCAAGCUAAAUGCAAGAAUGCUAUUGCCGAGGCAAAGAGUAAGAAGAAGAAUAAGAAGAAGGAGGAAGAUUUGAUGAGAUCUUCUGUUAAUAUUUCUGAAGGGGGGGAUGAUGAAGAUGAAUUGAAAGAGUUAGGUAGCAAAAAAACGCCCCAUACUCUUGGCCCUAUGGAUAAGUUUGCAACUUCCAUCAGUCAUGAAACUUAUUUGACGAAAAGGCAACAAAAUAUCAAUGAAACACUCUUCAAAGAAAGAACACAGACUGUUCGUGAGUAUUGUGCUAGAUGGGUGUAUGAAGCUGGUAUUCCUUUCAAUGCGAUAGAUCAUGAUAGUUUCAAAUUGUUUGUUGAGGCGGUCGGUCAAUUUGGCCCGGGCUUCAAACCUCCUAGUCAAUACCAGUUGAGAGAACCGUUGUUAAAGGGAGAAGUUGAUAGAACUAAAGAAUUACUAAAGAAGCAUGAAGAAGAGUGGGCACAAAAUGGGUGCUCCAUUAUGACAGAUGCUUGGACAGACAGAAAAAUGAGGAGCAUCAUGAACGUAUGUGUUAAUUCUCAUGCAGGUACUAUUUUUUUGUCUUCCAAAGAGUCUUCAGACGAAGCACAUACAAGCGAACUCAUUUUUGAAUAUGUGGACAAGUGCAUCGAGCAAGUUGGCCCACAAAAUGUCAUCCAAGUAGUAACAGACAAUGCUGCCAACAAUAUGGGAGCAGCAAAAUUAUUGAAAUUGAAGAGGCCAAAUAUCUUUUGGACAUCAUGUGCUACUCACACUAUCAAUUUGAUGCUUGAAAGUAUUGGAAAACUACCGAAGUUUAAAAAAGUCAUUGAUCAGGUCAAGAGUUUGACGAUCUUCAUUUAUGCACACCAUAAGACAUUGUCCUUAAUGAGAUCAUUUACAAAGAAGAGGGAUAUUGUGAGACCGGGAGUUACUAGAUUCGCUUCUUCUUUCCUUACUUUGCAAAGUUUGAUGGAGAAAUAAGCUCAAAUGAGGACAAUGUUUACUAGCUCUGAAUGGGAUGAGUGCAAAUGGUCAAAGACUGUUAAAGGGAAAGCAACAUAUGCUACUGUGAUGAGCAUUACUUUUUGGAAUGGUGUGAAUUUAUGCCUCAAGGUUUUUGCUCCUUUGGUGAAGGUACUUCAAAUUGUUGAUGCAGAUAAAAAGCAUUCUAUGGGCUUUUUAUAUGGAGAGCUUAAGCAUGCAAAGGAAGCUAUUAAGGAGGCCCUAAAGAAUAUUGAGAAGAACUAUCAGCCUAUUAUUGAGAUUAUUGAAGUAAGGGUAAAAGAUAGGCUAGAUAGUCCACUGCAUUUUGCGGCUUACCUUUUGAAUUCCUAUUACUUUUUUAAGGAUAUGGGUAUAAAACUUGAUCAUGAAGUCAUGGAUGGAUUUUUUAACUGUGUGGAGAUGUUUUAUGAUGCCAAUGGUGAAUUGCAAGGUCAUGUUGUAAAUAUUGAGUUGCCAAAAUAUACUCAUAAAGAAAGAACUUUUGGAAAAUCGUGGGCAACUCAAGGGUGUGCAGAAAAUGAUGACAAUUAUAAUCCAGGUAUAAAAUUUAUUUAAUCAUUUUCUGAACUUCUAUUGUGUAUAAGUUUAUUUACUUUAUACUUGUUUGACCUAUGUAGUUAAAUGGUGGAUAACUUAUGGAAAUCACACUCCAAACUUGCAACGAAUGGCGAUAAGGAUCCUUUCAUUAACUAGUAGUUCGUUUGGUUGUGAAAGAAAUUGGAACACUUUUGAAGGGAUACGUACGAAGAAAAGAAAUAGACUGGAUGUGCAUCGAUUGAACAAUCUUGUUUAUGUCCAAUUUAAUGCAAAAUUGAUGAACAAGCAAAAGAGAGAGAAGGAAAGGAAUGUUGAUGUGUUACUUUCUAGUGAUGCCAGCAAUGCACAAGGAUGGAUUGUUGAAGGAGGAGAUGAUGAAGAAAUUGAUCCUGGUACGGGGCUUACUUGAGAAGUGGUUGGUGAAGCAUCUGGAGCAGACGAGAUGCUUCAAUCUCGAAGAAGUUCUAGGAUGAGAGAGCUUCAUGAAGAUGAUUUCCAAUCAGAAGAAGAAGAAGAUGAGCAAGAGCUCAAUGAAUUUGAUUUUGAAUCUGAUGAAGAUCAUGUAUUAGAAGAAUAUGGAGAGGAAGAAGUCUAAUUAGAUAGUUAGAUACUUAAAUUCUUCAAGUAUGGUUUAUGUUGCAUUAUUGUUGCUUUUAUCUUAUUGAACCUAGAACUGAUCUACAACAAUUUGUUUUCUCAUGCUUAAUUCUAUAUUUCACUUGUCAUUCCAUUAUUGUUGUAUUUUUGGUUUAUGUUGCAUUAUUAAUGCUUUUUAACUUUGAUUAAAUUGAAAAUAACAUCAAAUUACAUCACAAAAUUUAAAAAAAAAAAAUAGCAAUUUUUCUAGGCCCCGCCUAGGCGCUAGGCCCCAGCCUGGCGCCUGACUAGCGCCUAGCGCCUUUUAGAACACUGCCCUUAGUAGAGGACUUGAUGGAUGAACUACAUGAUGCCCAUUUCUUUUCAAAACUUGACCUUAGAUCCGACUACCAUCAAAUUAAAAUAAAGCCAGAAUAUGUCCAUAAAAUCGCUUUUAGGACACAUCAAGACCAUUUUGAAUUUUUGGUAAUGCCAUUCGGGCUCACUAAUGCCCCAACCACAUUUCAAUCCCUAAUGAACCAAAUUUUUGAGCAAUACCUAAGGAAGUUUGUUCUAGUAUUCUUUGACGAUAUCCUUGUAUAGAGCCCCACCUUGGACCAACAUAUAUCUCACCUUAAAACCACCCUUAAAGUCCUUAGAGCUAACUAACUUUUCAUCAAAAAGUCAAAAUGUGCAUUUGGACAGAAUCAAGUGGAGUAUUUGGGGCAUUUAAUUUCUGGGGCAGUGGUUAGUAUCGACCCUAAAAAAGUAGAAGCCAUGUUGGCUUGGCUUGUAACAUCCCGCAUUGAGCGAUAGGAAGGACUAGAUCAACUUACCUUGAUGGGUUUACGCGAACUUCUCAGGAGCUACCCUAGAUCAAGCACGCUUAAUCCGAAAGUUCUUUAUUCACAUUCAUCGCAAAAGGUAUUCAACUAGUGUUGUUUCCUUCCUUGCUAUCCUCGAUAAAUAUACUAGCUUCUCUAGAGUCCCUUCUUGGACCUGACCUUAGGCUAUCGGGGUAUUACAUUCUCCCCCCUUGAGCACAUGGCGCCCUUGUCAUAUAACCUUGCAACUGGUCCUAGAUCUUCUCCUCUUUGGGGAUUGUCAUCCUAAAAGCCUGCUAGGAGCCGCUCUUUGUUUAGGCCUUCGCACCUCGAUGCCACUCCUCGCCCUUAUCAGACCGCAUUUUCCAAGGGUCAGCUCUGAUACCACUUGUAACAUCUCGCAUCGAGCGAUAGGAAGGACCUAAUCAAUUUAUCCUGAUGGGCCUACGCGAACUUCCAAGGGUCACCCAUCCUUGAGCUACUCUAGCUCAAGCACGCUUAAUUCGAGAGUUCUUUAUUUAUAUUCAGCUCAAAAGGUAUUUAGCUGGUGUUGUUUUCUUCUUUACUAUCAUCGAUAUAUAUACUAGCUUCUCUAGAGUCUCUUCUUGGACCUAACCUUGGGCUCUUGGGGUAUUAUAUAGCUCAAACCCACCACAAUGAGGGCCUUGAAAGGAUUCCUUGGGCUAACGGGUUAUUAUUGUCAAUUUGUCAAGGGAUAUGAGACUAUAAGUAAACCUCUAAUAGAAUUCUUAAAGAAGUGAAGCUUUAGUUGGGGGCAGGCUGAGGCAGCAUUUGAAAAGUUAAAGAGGGUGGGUAAGGUUUUAGUUUUGGGGCUACCAAACUUUAGCCAACCAUUUGUGGUAGAAACAAAUGCUUUUGGGAGUGGCAUUAGGGCGAUAUUGUCCCAAAAAGAAAGACCCUUAGCCUUCUUAAGCCAAGCUCUAAGUGGUAGACAUAUGGGCCUAAAGUAUAUAUGAGAGAAUUCUUGGCAGUUUUGAUAGUAGUGGAUAAGUGGCUUCAUUACUUGGAGGGGGGGAAAUUUAUAAUUAAGACGAACCAUGAAAGUUUGAAAUUCUUAUUGUAACAAAAAUUGUAAACUCAACUACAAAAAGGAUGGCCAAACUAAUGGGAUUGGAUUAUUCAAUACAAUAUUGGAAGGGUAAAGAGAAUGUGGUAGUAGAUGCCCUCUCAAGAUGCCAUGAGCAUGGAAAGUUGGUAGCCAUUACAAUGGUGGUACCGGAGUGGUGGAUAGUUAUGAAGGGGAUGAGCAAGUGCAAGAACUCAUACAAGGAAUGACUGUGAGAUCACAAGGAACUGAUGGUUAUACCCUAAGGGGGCGUUUGUUAAAAUGAGCAAGAUAAGGUGAUAUCAAGAUAAGAUUGGGAUACUUUCCGGACCAAGAUAUGGAAUGAUCAAGAUAAGACCGGGAAGCAUUCUAAUAUUUCUAUCAGACUAUUUGUUAAAUUUUUUAGAAUCCAUUGAUAACUGUAUUUUUUCUUUCCACGUGUUUGUUAAUACAUAUGAUAAGCACCAAGAUAAGGUUUUUUUUACCAAAAUAUCCCUAUUACCAAAUUUAUGAUUAAAAUAGUAUUUUAUGAUUAAUAUGAAUUGUCAAAAAAAUUAAGAUUAAAAUUAAAAAUAAUAUUUUAUUUUCUAAAUUCAAGUUUAAAAAUAAAUUUAAAAAGAGUUGAAAAGUAUAAAUAAUAAUUGUUAGGAUUACAAUAAUUCCACCUACAUAAUUAAAAAUAGCCAAAACAUAUUUUCAUAAUAGAUAAUAAAAUAUAAAAUUAAAUAAAAUAAUUUAAAAAUUGAUGAAAUGAAUUAUAUUAGUUAAUAAAAUAUAUAUAUAGAGAGAGAAAUUCAAAUUUUAAAAAUUAAUGAAAUGAAUAAUGUCAUUUAAAUUUUAAAAAUUGUCAAAACAUAUAAUAAUUUAAAAAUAUAUUAAAUAAUAUUAAUUAUAAGAGAUAAAUAAAUAAGCUUUUUAAUAAAUUUAAAUCUUUAAAAUGCAUUAAAUGGCAUUAACUAUCUUACAAGGGGUAGAUAAGUAAUUGAGGCUUAUCUUGAAAGAGCCAGAUAAAUUUAUCCGAUGGGGGAGGUCGGAUAAAUUUAUCUUGAAAAGGGGAGAUAAGAGGUCACGUGAUACCUUUUCCUGAAAUGGCCAGAUAAGCUUAACAAACACGUUGAAAAGACCAAACAUCCGGAAGGCUUCCCAUAUCUGACCUUUUCUCCCUCUUAUCUUAGUUAACAAACACCCCCUAAGAAAAAGGAUGCUGCGGCUGCAUGGCAAGGUGGUCAUUGGCAGCAAGGGGGACAUUAGGAAAAAAAUAUUGUAGUCACUACAUGACUCUCUCUUAGGGGGACAUUUAGGGGUCCAAAACACCUAUUUAAGGGUGAAGUAGCUAUUCCAUUGGCCAAAAUUGAAGACUGAUGUGAGGGAAUUCGUGUUAUCUUGCGAUACUUGCAAGAGGUGCAAGUAUGAGAAUGUUGCUUACCUCGGGUUGCUCCAGCCCUUACCAAUACCUGACCAAGCUUGGACAAGUGUGUCCAUGGAUUUCAAGGGAUUACCUAAGUUAGAAGGGAAUGAUAGUGUGUUGGUUGUGGUGGAUAGGUUCACUAAAUUUGCACAUUUUAUAGGUUUGGCUCAUCCCUAUACGGCCCAAGAGGUGGUUAGGGCUUUCACGGACGGAAUAGUGGCUUUGCAUGGGGUUCUGAGGGUUAUCAUAUUAGACAGGGAUAGGAUAUUCAACACCUUUUGGCAAGAAUUGAUGAGGUCAAUGAGGAUAAAACUCAACAUGUCGACUACUUACCAUCCACAAAUGGAUGGGCAAACAAAAAGAGAGAAUUAGAGUUUGGAAAUCUAUCUUAGGUGCAUUUGUAUCCUACAUCCUAACCAGUGGCACAGAUGGCUUGCAUUGGCCUAGUGGUGGUACAAUUCUACCCACCACACCACCCUAAAAAUGACUCCAUUUGAAGCUAAUUACGGUUAUAAACCUCCUAUAUUACCAGCCAUAGGAGGGCAGGCUACAACUGCUUCAGUGAAAGAAUAUUUGCAACAAAGGAGGGUGGUGCUUAGACAGCUCAAACGGGAAUUGACCUCGGGUCAAAAUAGAAUAAAGCAAUAUGUAGACCAAAUGAGGAGCGACAGAGAGUUCGAGAUUGGGGAGAAGGUUUAUCUGCAGUUGAGGCACCCCCAUUUGAAGUCCAUUACUCAAGAAGGAUCAGUUACUAAGUUGACCCCCUGGUGUUUUAGUUUGUUCCUUAUCGUAGCUAAGGUUGGAAAGGUAGCCUACCAGUUGUAGCUUCGAGAAGGGUCACAAAUUCAUCCUAUCUUCCAUGUGUCCCUCUUAAAAAAGUCAUUAGGCAAGGAGCAAGUCAAUCCUGAACUACUGUCAUUGCCUAAAGAAAAGAAAAGGGAGGAAGAACCAGAAGCAAUAUUGGACUAAAGGGUAAUCUAUAACCAUGGGGUCCCUCUUAUUUAGGUGCUAGUAAGUGGCAGCACGAGGACAAGGGAAGCAACAUCUGAGAAUAUUUGCCAAGCCUCCUUUAGCGAUUCCCAAGGAUUGCCAGCCUUCUUAGCAUUUCUUGAGGAUAAGAAAUGUUUCAAGGGAGGAGCAAUUGUCACACGCUUUCAUGUUGGCGCGACAUCAGCAGCUCAUUUACAAUUCUUACUGUCUCUUAUUUGUUUCCUUCAUGUUAUAUUGUUAUGUAUCUUUUAUUUACUUUAUGUAUCUGCACUAGUUGGGUUAUUACAUCUAUAAAAGGGGGGGAAAGAGUUUGUUAGAGAUAUUCCAUGGGAAAGGCCACGAGUAAGGAGGCCUGGGAAAAAGACAAAAUAGUUGAUUAUUAGGGGUGAGAUCUGCUGUGGUAGCACCCAGGCUAGGGGUAUAAAUACCCUCUAGUCUCAGCUUGUAGGGACAUGAGAAUUAUCAGAAGAAAUUCUACCUUUCUCUUAUGUUUUCAUCUCUCUCUCUCUCUCUCUCUCUCUCUCUUUGUUUUCUCUUCUUUUCCUCUAAUUCCAAUCUCUCUUACCUUCCUUGUCUACUCUAAAUCCCUCCCCUAUUGCACCCUCCAAUUCACAUCGAAUUAAAAGGUGGUUCUCCUUGUCACAUCGGGUCUGUGACAUCGCUUCCAAGGCAUCCAACCUCGACUCUAGCUAUUUUGUCCUUGUGCCUCCAUCCUCACCUCCAAUUCUUCCUCGUUUGACACCAGCUAAUUACCAAAUGUGUUUGACACUGGUUGCGACCCCUUUCUCGCCCACGUAGCCAACUCCGACGGAACUCCCUCACCUCUCUUCCGCUCUAGUUGCAACCCUUUGGGCUGUCCGCUUCACCUCCGACUGACUCACGAUCAUUGCGGAACGUCCAUUACAGUCAUGAACACCUGUAGGUUCAUGUCACCCUUCGACACCUGGAGGUCUGUUACAGUUGCGAAUGAUCGCCUUUCGGGUCGCAUUCGGUGUGCUUGCCGGUCGACCCACCUCCGUCCGGCUUCCAAGGACACUGGCUCUAAUACCACUGUUAUAGCCCUCGGGUAGAACUCACCCUCAAAAAUUAAUUGUCAAUGGAAUGGUGUCUAAGAGAUUAUAAAUCCCACACUAAGAGUCUAAAGUUCUAAUGGGAGACAAGUUUCAUACCUUACUGUAGGCCAUAAUACAUUCAUUUAUUGGAAAUGUUUUAAUUUAAUGCUGCAAACUGUACUACGUCAUCUGUGCAUCAUGUAGUAGUUGAGUUGCCAAGCCAAUACUAAAAGUGAUGGAUUGCAAUUCAGUCAGAGUUUUCUUUGCAAAUCUUCGCAUGUCAUAAGCAUUAAUCAUGCUACAUCAUCAACUUCAAAUUUGACUGGUUAAUCUAGGUAGAUGGUUAUUUAUUCAGGCUAACAUAACCAUAUUCAAAACUCUAGGGAACUCUGGUUAUUUGCAAUCAGCUCGUUUGGAUACUGCCUUUUGGGUUAAUUUUUUUUCCUUUUUUUUAAUUGU